rnacentral:rRNA from 1 species
GACGAACGCUGGCGGCGUGCCUAAUACAUGCAAGUAGAACGCUGAAGGAGGAGCUUGCUUCUCUGGAUGAGUUGCGAACGGGUGAGUAACGCGUAGGUAACCUGCCUGGUAGCGGGGGAUAACUAUUGGAAACGAUAGCUAAUACCGCAUAAGAGUUGAUGUUGCAUGACAUUUGCUUAAAAGGUGCAAUUGCAUCACUACCAGAUGGACCUGCGUCGUAUUAGCUAAUUGGUGAGGGAACGGCUCAACAAGGCGACGAUACUUAGUCGACCUGAGAAGGGGGUCGGUCACAAUGGGACUGAGACAACGGCCAGACUCCCACGGGAGGCAGCAGUAGGGGAUUUUCGGCAAUGGAGGGAAGGCUGACCGAGCAACGCCGCGUGAAUGAAGGAGGGUUUCCGAUCGUAAAGCUCUGUUGUAAAAGAAGGACGAAUGUGGGAGUGGACAAUUCACACUGUGACGGUAUCUUAUCAGAAAGGGACGGCUAACUACGUG